rnacentral:rRNA from 1 species
GAUGAACGCUGACAGCAUGCUUAACACAUGCAAGUCAACUGUGGCGGACGGGUGAGUAACGCGUAAAGAACUUGCCUCCCAGAUAGGGACAACAUUUGGAAACGAAUGCUAAUACCUGAUACUGUGAGAGAGCUUUGCGUCCCAUUAGCUAGUUGGAGAGGUAACGGCUCACCAAGGCGAUGAUGGGUAGCCGGCCUGAGAGGGUGAUCGGCCACAAGGGGACUGAGACACGGCCCUUACACCUACGGGAGGCAGCAGUGGGGAAUAUUGGACAAUGGACCAAAGUCUGAUCCAGUAAGUCUGUGUGAACGAUGAAGUUUUCGGAAUGUAAAGUGCUUUCAGUUGGGAAGCGGUACCAACAGAAGAAGUGACGGCUAAAUACGUGCCAGACGCCGCGGUAAUC